GGAGGGAUGGGAGAGUGGUUAAAUCCAUCAGGCUGUAAACCUGACGCCCUUUGGGCUACGUAGGUUCGAAUCCUACUCCCUCCACCA
rnacentral:tRNA from 2 species